AUUUUAUCUUUAAACAAGUUCAAACACUUGAAACAAUAGCUUCAUACAUACGCAAAAGAAACAAACACACAACAAAAUUGAUAGAAUAAAAUAAGUUUGGUAUUAAAGAAGAUAUAAUCGUAACAAGAUUCAAAACUUAAGUAAUGACAUCGCUACAAAGAUCAGCUGUUUCGUUCCGACGUCAAGGUUCUUCGGGUCGUAUUUGGAGUGAUCAAUUCAUCUUAGAUCAAAAAAAUGGAGCAAUUCUUCAAAAUCAUCUAGAACAAACCGGAAGAAAUAGUAAUGAUCUUGAAGAUAAAAAUCCAUCACAGAAAUCAAGUUCUUCGUCAUCUUCUUCAUCACCACCUCCAUACUUUUCUGAAAUACGUAGAGGACCAGACAUCUCAUCUUCUACACGAAACAAACUCGCUUGUGGUUUAUCAUCACUUUUCCGACAAUGUAUCGGUUCUUCGGCUCGUGCUUAAUUUUGUUCAAUGCUUGACGCAAAUCUGUACAUAUAUUUUCUUGUUAUAUGAAAAAUUCAUCACAAUUUUUU